rnacentral:rRNA from 1 species
AACGAACGCUGGCGGCAGACCUAACACAUGCAAGUCGAACGGCCGUAGCAAUACGGCAGUGGCAGACGGGUGAGUAACACGUGGGAACGUGCCCUUCGGUUCGGAAUAACUCGGGGAAACUCGAGCUAAUACCGGAUACGCCCUCCGGGGGAAAGAUUUAUCGCCGAAGGAUCGGCCCGCGUCGGAUUAGCUAGUUGGUGGGGUAUGGCCUACCAAGGCGACGAUCCGUAGCUGGUCUGAGAGGACGACCAGCCACACUGGGACUGAGACACGGCCCAGACUCCUACGGGAGGCAGCAGUGGGGAAUAUUGCACAAUGGGCGCAAGCCUGAUGCAGCCAUGCCGCGUGAGUGACGAAGGCCUUAGGGUUGUAAAGCUCUUUCAGCGGGGAAGAUAAUGACGGUACCCGCAGAAGAAGCCCCGGCUAACUCCGUGCCAGCAGCCGCGGUAAUACGAGGGGGCAAGCGUGUUCGGAUUACUGGGCGUAAAGCGCGCGUAGGCGGCCUAGC